AGGUGGCAACAGCAGCAGCAAAAGUCCAGCAGUCUGAGCUGCAGAUAUGUGACAUCUCUGCAAGAAUCGCUGCUUUGAAGAGUGCAGGGCUCAACGUGGACCCAAAGUCACGUUUGACUAAAGGAUGGAUCAGACCACCAUUCACUCUGGACUCAUCUAGACACCUGAGGAGGCGAUUACCAGCACCACCAGUGAACGGUAAC